CCUACGGGGGGCAGCAGUGGGGGAUAUUGCACAAUGGGGGGAACCCUGAUGCAGCGACGCCGCGUGGGUGAAGGAGUGCUUCGGCAUGUAAAGCUCUAUCGGCAGGGAAGAAGCAAGACGGUACCUGACUAAGAAGCCCCGGCUAACUACGUGCCAGCAGCCGCGGUAAUACGUAGGGGGCGAGCGUUAUCCGGAUUCACUGGGUGUAAAGGGAGCGUAUACGGCUAUGCAGGCCAGUGGUGAAAGCUCGGGGCCGAACCCCAGAACUGCCCUGCGAACGGCAGGGCUGGAGUGCGGGAGGGGCAGGCGGAAUUCCUGGUGUGGCGGGGAAAGGCGUAGAUAUCAGGAGGAACACCAGCGGCGAGGGAGGCCUGCUGGACCGCGACUGACGUUGAGGCUCGAAAGCGUGGGGAGCGAACAGGAUUAGAUACCCAGUAGUC
rnacentral:rRNA from 1 species